UCUUGUGAAUGACUGCUCAAAUACCUCAAAAAUUGCAUCUUUCAUUUAAGCCCUUCGUCAGGUUCUUGCAGAUCCGUCUCGAACGAGUCUCGACAGCCCUCCUUAACAGCCUCUUACCUCGUUUGUUUCUUGGGGGUUCACCCUUGAACCGGCUUUCUCGAGUGUCCAAGCAUGUCAGAUGCCACAGAUAGUUGAUUUUGGGCAAAAGGGUCCUCUCAAGAUGUUGUUUGUCCUGGAGUCUUGAGAAAACCCUUUUGCCCAAAAUCAAUUAUUUGCUCUCUGUUGGCUUUUCCUACUCUGACCUCAUCUGGUGAUAGCUACUGAUCCCAGAAUAGUAGCAAGGAUAGAAGCACAGAGUCCUAAUUUUUGUUGUGCUGAGGAUUUUAUCAAGAAAGCAAUUGCAUCUGUUUAAAAGUAGUUAUCAAUAUUGGAGGACGUUUCCUAUCGGUUUAAGAUCUAAACCAUAUGCAUCUGUUAGAUGAAUCUAUAUUCUACUGAAGUACAAGCGAAUUUAUGGUGGACAUAGCAUCCAAUACCUACUCAUUGAUUCAAUGGAUCGAUUAUUUCUUGUAUUUUCAAAAUAUUAACUUAUGGGACUUUCUCUUGUCUUGUUUAUGAUGUGUAAGUAGAUGAUUGCAUAGCAAGUAAAACUAUUUUGUACUUUGCAAUACAUUCAUAAAUGGGAUGACAUUUAGUGAUUUGUCAUUUAUGUUUAAAUGUAAUCUGCAUAUUAAUAACGUAAAGGGCACACAUGUAUUUGUAGUCGUAAAAUAAACUCAAAAUAAAGGGCAUGGAAUAUGGAUUUUGCUCAAAAUUUCGUUCUUCAUGAUACUUUUUAGUAAAUUUAGGUAUUUGUGAGAAAAAAACGCUAAUAUAUCACCAAACUUUACAAUUCAACUUGAUUCAAUUCUUUACUCUUGAUUCCUGAGCAUAAACAUUCGAUUCACAAGUUGUAUCUUAAUUUGGCAACUGUGGUUAUGAAGCAUUAUGGGAAAAUAUGGCAUAAUGAUUGUGGCUUUAUUCUGUCCUUUUGUCGAGACUUGAUUCUUCAUUCAUCUGGACAUUGUUUUUUGGUAAAAAACAAAAAAAGUCUUGAAGCUUCGAUAAGCUUGUUAUCUAGUGUUUUCAUUUCCCUAAGUUGUGUUCAGAAAAGGUUUGAUUGGGAGAUGCUAUUGAUGGUUUACUUAUGUACUAUAAGCUGUGCAAUGGAGAGAGUAGUCCAGCCACAUGCUUGUUCUUUCCAAGCAAUGCCAUCUCUUCUUUCGGUUAUUGAACAAUAAAAUCUAAAUUUGUCGCCAGCAUCAGUAGAACCAGAAAUUAGUAGUUGGUCAUUUAAGAUGUUCUGCAGAAUCUCCUCCUACAUUUAUUCGGAUUUCUGCCACUUCCGCUCAAAUGCAUGUUACCAAACGCCUCUACUGCAGGAUGAUUACGUAGUACAUUUAGCGUGACUGUCAGAGCUUGGUAUAACUGUCUACCUCACAGCUUAAUGAGGAUGUUGAAGGAAGAUGUUUCAUGUCAGGUACCCUUAAAUUGCCAUUGGUGGUUUUCUUCAGCAAGGUGCAUACGCAUUUAUAACAUGGGCAAUGUUUUGUCUGCAAUGAUCAGCUUGCACUCCACACAGGAACAAGAUGGGAUGGAGCAAUCACUUGUCCAUACCUUUUGAGAAUAUCGGAAAAAUUUUAUUCAAAAAAAGUUGGGAAAGUCUCAUAGGAGGAAGCUCUGUGAUUUUGUUGAAUUUGUAUACAGCAUGACUUUUCAAGUUUCUUGAAGAGGCAGAUCGACAAGGGUACUGUUGAAAGUGAGACUGUACUGCUUCCCCUACAAAUGGUUUCUUGCUUGCUAAUUUAUUUUAUCCGAUGCCUUCAGAUCGGAAGAGC